rnacentral:rRNA from 1 species
CUACGGGUUGCAGCAGUGGGGAAUAUUGCACAAUGGGGGAAACCCUGAUGCAGCAACGCCGCGUGGAGGAUGACGCAUUUCGGUGUGUAAACUCCUUUUAUAUAGGAAGAUAAUGACGGUACUAUAUGAAUAAGCACCGGCUAACUCCGUGCCAGCAGCCGCGGUAAUACGGAGGGUGCAAGCGUUACUCGGAAUCACUGGGCGUAAAGCGCGCGCAGGCGGCCUUUUAAGUUGGAUGUGAAAGCCUAUGGCUUAACCAUAGAACUGCAUCCAAAACUAUCAGGCUAGAGUAUGGGAGGGGAAGAUGGAAUUAGUGGUGUAGGGGUAAAAUCCGUAGAGAUAACUAGGAAUACCAAAAGCGAAGGCGAUCUUCUGGAACAGUACUGACGCUGAGGCGCGAAAGCGUGGGGAGCAAACAGGAUUAGAUACCCGUGUAGUC